CGGGCGAGUGACGUGCGCGCCCCGCGGACGCCGAGGGGGCGCGCGCGGCCGCGAGGUGCCGAGCCGCGGGAACGGAUGAGUAGGGCCGCCCUCCGUGGAAACACGGUUUUGAAGAGGGCCUGCGUACACGCUGGGCCCUUCACAUCUGUAGACGGUGGAGGCCAGGAGAAAGGAUACUGUGUGCGAUGAGGUAAAGCAUGUGAGAGUGCUUUGUAACCGGAAAGUGCCUUUCAAAACAGCUCCUGGUUUGCUGCUGGUACCUGAUAGAGAUGGAACUCCUGACCAUGGGACAUCAAGUGACUAUGUGAAUGAUCGAACUACUACUCGUCAUGAACUGGUGUUAUCUGAUUCACCAAUCAUACAACUGGAUGGGCAUAACAGCAGUUCACUCCCUACAAAACUGGGUACAUGGCCACAACUAAACUGAAUAAGCAGGUGACUCAGACUACUGUUAUUAGUACCUGCCCCUAUUCCUUCAGCACUUCUCCCUCAAUCCAUAUACACUGGCUUCAAAGGGGGUUCCCUCUGACCAAUUAAUGAAGGAAAAAAGUUUAGGUCUUGUUAAUUCACAAAAGGGUCUGCAAUGAGCUGGCAAUAGCUGGGUGUGAGUGGUCACUAUACAACACCAUCGCUCAAUAGUGGCCCUGAAUCACAACAGUAAAGGGAAAUCCUUUCCUUGAGAACUUUAGGAGACGUGGCCUGAGGUAAGGGUAUAGAGUGGUUCAUUGUGAGUGGCUUAUGAGUCGACAGGCUGGACAAGAACUUAAAACAAAUUAGAAAACUGGUUCAGUUUAUGGAGCCAACCAGGAGACAAUAACCUCCAAAUUUAGGAUGCAGACUUCAGAAUAAAGUAUUAUGCUUAAAUGCAGUAACCAAUAUGUAGUGCCAUCUUUCCCAGAAGGUAUGUAUAGUGGAGAUGAGCAUGGUCCCUCUAUUUUCUAUAUGUCUAUUUUUUUUAAAUAACUGGGAGCAUGUUUUCUGAAUUUGGUGAAAAGCAUGAAAUUACAGAUCCACAAAGCUCAGUGAAGCACAGGUAGGAAAAUUACCAAUGCGUGUUAUUGUCAAACUGACAAAACUAAGAAAAAUAUCUUAAAAGCAUUCAGAAAAAGUGCACAUCACACACAGGAGGGCUAUUAUAUGAAUUUUUAAAAGUUUUUUAAUGGAAGCAUAACACACAUGUAGAAAAGUACACAAAUAUAAUUAUUUAGCACAACUUAUCACAAAGUAAAGAUAACUGUGUAAUCAACACCCACAUCAAUAGCUACAACACUAACAUGCCCCCUUCUUAGUCAUUCUUCUUCUUUCUUCCCAAAGGUAAUCACUUUCCCAAAUUCUAACACCAAAGAUUAGGUUUGCCAAUGGUUAACUUAUAUAUAUUGAAUACAUAACUGUAUUCUCUUGUGUCUGGCUUCCUUUGUUUAAUAUUGUGAGGUUCAUCUCUCUGCCCCUCCCCUGCUCACUCAUCUCUCACUCUCUCAAAUAAACAAACAUUAAAAAAAAAUCUUUAAAGAAAACAUUGUGAGGUUUAUCCAUGUUACCUGGAUCGGUUGUUCAUUUAUUUUCAUUGUUAUACAAUGAAUGAAUAUAUUGCCAUUUACUUACCCGUUCUACCGUUGAUAGAUAUUGGCAAUGUUUCCAUUUAGGGCUAUUAUAAAGACUGAUGCUAUGAACAUUCUUUUGUAUGUCUUUUGGGGUACACAUGUAUGCAUUUUUGUUAGGUUCUCUAUUAUACCUAAAAACCCACUUGAAGAAUUUUUUGGUCCCUGAAACUUUGGACUUAGUGGUUUUGGUAGUAAACUUGGUACUAAAGAGAGAAAUGCUUCCUAAUACUUCAACGAAUUAGAAGUGGACACUGUUCACUGGCAGGUUUGGGCUUUUUCUGUCACUAACCAACAAGAGAGAAGGAAAUCACUCUACUGGCAGGGUGAGGGAUCCCUUUUAACAGGGGGAAAUUGCAUUGCUGCUAUACAGCAGAAUAAAUAUGACUGUAUAUGGACUGUAACAGUAUUCUCUGAGAAGCUUGUUUGUAUUCUCUUAGCCAAUAGUCCAGUAAAAAACUAGGGUAACCCAAAAAGGACCUCUGCUAGGACUCAUAAGAAUGACUGUUGGGAGUACCCCACCCGGUAAGAAUCCCAUCCAGGUGAGGUACAAACAAAAAGUGAGAGAAACCAAGAAUGGACGGUGAAUAGGGCACCUGGAUAGCUCAAUUGGUUAAGCAUCUGAUUUCAGCUCAGGUCAUGAUCUCAUGGUUUGUGGGUUUGAGCCAUCAGGCUCUGUGCUGACAGCGUGGAGCCUGCUUCAGAUUCUCUCCCUCUCUCUGCCCAGCUGUUCAUGCUCUCUCUCUGUCGCUCACUCCCUCUUUCUCUCUCUCAAAAAUAAGCAUUAAAAAAAAAGAAUGGAUGGUGAAAGAAAACAGCUAUGUUUAUGAAUCUAGGCCUCAUGACCAACUUAAAAAAGCAGGUUUUAAGAGACUAUGAUUAUGUUUUGUAACUUCUUUUCUCCCCUGCCAUAUAUGAAGAAUUCUAGGGUGCUAAUGUUUAUGGUUCCAGAGCUGAUUACACCACCCCAUGAUGAGUUUGUAACUGGUGGGAAGAGAUUGCUUAGUGGAAAAGAGUGAGUAGAUUCUGGCAUGCCCAAAUCUGGAAGUGAAAAAAGCAACAACAACAAAAAAAACAGAGCAGCAAGGAAAAUCGGUAAGCUUUACCCUGCAGCAAAUGCAGCAAAAAUAUCAAUCUGUUCUUAAGGAAUUAAGUGCUUCACAAAGGUGAGUUCUCCAUGUGACUAAGGCUUCAAUUAUUCAUCGUGGACAGUAACCCAGUGCAGUUUGAAGGUCCUUGUCAUUACAGGUGACCUAGUAAAUGUUUGACAACUAGCUCACCAGGAAAGAAAAAAAAAGCUUUGAUUAUGGUGUUUGCAAAUUUCUUGGGGUAAAUAUCCCACUGUGGCUCAUUUCAGGCUACCACAGGACAUCACAGAACACAGAAUUAGAAGAAGGUAUAUAUUAUCAAACUAUAAUAUUUCUAUAAUACGGAUAUGAUCACCAUAACCACAAAAACAUGGAUAAUAGUAAAAUGAGGAAAUGAUUUUUGAAUAUUUAUUAUUCUUAUAUAUUGGAUUUUAACAUAAUUGUCAGCUUACAUAGUUAAUUCUUCAUAAAGGCUGUGUUUAACAGCCUGCAAAAUUUCUAAAAAUGUUUAAAUGUACUCAUAAAGCAGUAUAAGCCAGCUCUAGCAUAUACUGCUUUCUGCACUCUUAGUUUUGGAAGUGACUUAGGCAAUAGCUAAUAUGAGUUGAAUCCUUCAUGCCUUUUUCAUAUUCCUCCAUGUAUAUGAUACCUUGUUAUGACUUUAUUACUUUUUAAAAUCUUCUGAGCCAGCUGUAAAUGUUUAAUUUGUCACUUGUAAAUAAACACAAACAAAAGGAACUCCAUGAACAAUGGGAAUAGAGACAUUUCCUCAAGGAAGAAAUAUAGACAGCAAAACAGCACAUUAAAAGAUGCUGAACAUCAUUAGUCACUAGGUAAAUGCAAAUUAAAAUAACAAUGAGCUAUACCACUACAUACCUAUUAGAAUGGCUGAUUAAAAAGACUGGUCAUAACAGGUCAGGGGGAAUUGGAAUUCUCAGUAUAUAACUAGUGAGAAUGUAAAAUGGUACAACCACUUGGAAAACAGCUUGGCAGUUUCUUAAAAAGGUAAAUGUAUACCUAUCAUAAUCCACCUAUUCCAUUCCUACCUAUUUACCAAAAAGAAAACCUAUGUCCAUACAAACACUUAUACAAGAGUAUUUGUUAUAGACAAAAACUGGAAACAACCAGAAUGUCCACCGAUGGGUGAAUGGAUAUAGAAAUUGUGGCAUAUCCAUACAAAGAAUACUACUCAGUAGUAAAAAAAACAAAAAACUGUUGAGUGACACAACAUAGGUAAAUCUCAAAAUAAUUAUGCUGAGUGAAAAAAGUCACGGAGGGCAUGCUGUUUGAUUCUAUUUAAAUAAAAUUAUAGAAAAUGCCAACUAAGCUAUAGGACAAAAUGAUCAUUGGCUUCAAGUGGGUGCAAGGAAGAGGGGUUGGGUUGGGGGAACAGAAAGGGUUUACAAAGGACUACACAGACACUUGUAGUGAGGCAUAUGUUUAUUAUCUUGAUUUUGGUGAUUGUUUCAUGGGUGUCAAAUUACCAAAUUGUGUACUUUAAAUAUAUGUGAUAUACUGUAUGUCAAUUAUAUUUCAAUAAAGCUAUAAUAAACUUUUAA